UACGUAGGUGGCGAGCGUUGUCCGGAAUUACUGGGUGUAAAGCGCGUGUAGGCGGGAGGCCAAGUCUGUGGUGAAAUCGCUCGGCUUAACUGGGCGGGGUCCAUGGAAACUGGUCACCUGGAGGUCGGUAGAGGCAAGUGGAAUUCCCGGUGUAGUGGUGAAAUGCGUAGAGAUCGGGAGGAACACCAGUGGCGAAGGCGGCUUGCUGGGCCGGACCUGACGCUGAGGAGCGAAAGCGUGGGUAGCGAACAGG
rnacentral:rRNA from 1 species